CCUCCUUCGAUAUAAGUUUAGAGUGUUACUGCGGUGAUUUGGGAAGAUCUGUUAACAAUUUGCAUCUAGGAUUUGAGAAUCUAGUGCUAUGAGAGAUCGAAGAAAAAAGAAGAAUAAAUGAAGAUAUUUCUAAAUCUGUUGUAAAGAAGAAGUUGAUGAUUAAAUUAAGAAUUUUACAAAGUUAGGGUUCGAGAAAAAAUUGAGGAUUUUCACGAUUUGGAGUUUGUUGUUGGAGUUUGAUUCAACCUAACCUUCAAUCUUCUUCAACUUCAGUCCAAUCUCUGUUCACAAAGUUACUCAAUCAUCGACGGAGGUCGAAUUGAUGUUUGAGAUAACAGUGUUAAAUUGGGAGUUUUAAUUUUUCUUCUCCAGGUGAAUGUCAUUUUGAUGUCACUAGAAGAAGUGUUUCAUUUUCUUCGAUCGGCCCUCCCAAUCGUGGCAGCGGUGUUCUAGUUUAUACAUAAACCAAAAUAUGGCUACAUAAAGUAUUAUGUAUCCUUUGUGGUGGUUUGCAUAAUGGAUAUACAUUUAAUUUUCUAAAAUUGUGCCUAAAAUGAUAAAUACCUCCGAAUUUUUCGUAAAAAUUCUAAAUUUGAUAUUAUUGUUUGUACUCGUUGCGUAGAUUUUUUUAUAACCUUUCCAGUGAGAUAAAUUUUGUAAACUUCCAAGGCACAGAUUUUUAGAUAUGUUAUAUUAAAGUUUGCUUUCUAA